UUAAUACAAUUAAGAGCAAGAUAAAAUACAAUGACUUCUGUUCUAGCAAGUACAAGUAUAUGACAAAAUACGAUUCAAUAACGGAGCAAAUGGAUCCAUGCAGACUGACUACAUAUUAUUAUUAUUUUCUCUAUUUUCUAAAACCACGUGCAGGAAUGAAGGUCAAAGUUUGCACAUGUGCAGUACGCUAUCAGAAUAAGUUUUCAGAAAAGUGCGUUUACAUGAUAUACAUUUGGUUCGUUUUCGGAAUUGAAUCGGAAAUUUCUAGGUGCUGUUUUCCGAAAACUGAUCUAAGGAAUAUACAUGGCUUGAUAUCAGAAUUAGUUUUCCGAAAAAUAUCGGAAUUCUUAUGCUCAUGUAAACGCACUGUAUGAUACCCCUUGAUUUUAAAUCCCUGAGGUUGAGGGCUGAAUAGUGCAUUUUCAAUGACAAUAGGGCAGAAGAGCACAGCAUACAAGACAGGAUUACAAGUCCAUCUGAAAAGACAGAGUUCUGUGAAUCAAGAGUACCGUGGUUUUCAUUUUCUUUGGAUCGCAGUGCUGUUAUUGUCGGGAACUAAGUUAAGAUAUAAGAAAGUAACACUUGAAGUUCAGCAAGACAUCAGGACCUGAAUCUGCUGCAGUCCAGAAAAGCCUGGUAGAAGAUACUCCAUCCUGACCUGAAAGAGGACUCAACCUGCAGAAUGAUGCUCAUCUUCCUAACCUUCAGUUUUCUCUGUGCAAAUUCUGUCAUAGGAGUUCAAAAGGGAUCUUUGAACUGUGCUUCUGAUGCAGCUGAAUACCGGUUUCCAAAGGCUCUGCUAACCGAUGCCAAGAUCACCAUUGAUAACAUCCAUCUGCAGAAUAAUGACCAACAAUGCAAAGCACAAGAUGCAGGAAACUGGGUGGUGGUGAGGGUACUAUUCAGCGCGUGUGGAACUGCGUCUCGGGUGGAAGGAAACAAGAUAGUUUAUUCCAACACGGUUUAUGGCACUGUUACAGACACCCCAAUACCUGUACGUCGUCUUGAGAUCCCUUUAACAUGCGAGAUGACGGCUAAUGAGACCUUCAGUUUUCAGUUCAACCCUAUGGUUGAGGGUAUGGCUGAAUCAGGGUAAAUACAAGGUCUCUCUACACUUAUUCAAAACUAAAGCCUUUAAUGAUCCAGUCACGGAAUUUCCCUAUGAAGUGGAUCUGAGUGGGAGGCUCUACAUUGAAUUUGUUGUGGAUUCUAAGGAUACAAGCCUCCAGGUAUCUGCAGAUUCCUGCUACUCCUCACCCACAGACACCAAGGGAAAGGACACCUACACCAUCAUUAAAAACAGGUACGUCUGGUGCUAAACACAAACUUCUUUUACCCAGACCUCAUUGAAUUUCUAAAAUCUGGGGAUCCCCGAGUGUCUCUUCUGGUAAAAGCACAGGGUGAGACAGCACAGGUUUGUCUCUUGGCAGUGUUAGGAAGGCUAAGAUGGAAGGCAUUGCUUUUCCUCAUCACUUUUAUAAUGGAUCCUGACAGCCAGGCACAUGAUUUAUUAACAGAGACUGUUAUCCAGGGCAACUUACAAUACAUAUAUAUACAGUA